UGUGAAUACUGAUAUACCAAUCCUACCUGCCUUCGACGGGUCUAAGGAUGUUCUACUCACACUUCCCUCUGGAAAAUCAACCAGAAAUAUCAGAUGGAUCGCUGUGUGGUGCAGAGAUUAUAAAGUGAAUUUUGGAUACAUUACUUUUCCUUAAAACAAGAUUUUGGGGUAUUCCACCUAUCUCCCUCUACAAUUCAUGGAGUAUUAUGAUUUUUAAAUAUUGUUUUGAAAACAUUCAAUUCAUAUAUUUUACGUUAAUCUAUCUGAUGUUGCAAAUGUUAAAAAUUCAUUUUAUAAAAAUUUGAUGAAAAGUUUUGCUAGGAAUAAAUCUUAUGUAUGUCGAAUAAAUCGUUAAGUUGUUCAAA